UUGAAAGUGAACCGCAUGUUCGAUUGGGUUAAAUUUUAAUCUUUUUUUUCUUCGUCUUUCUUUUAUGUAUUUUCCAUUUUAAAACAGCAAUCUACUCUUCCAGCAGAUGAGGUAAUUCGAUUCGAAUAUAAGCUGUGGUGUCCCCCGAAAUCUUGAAGAAAUUUGUAGUGGCGAUCGAUGGUGGGGAGAGAUGUGGAGAAGAUGUUGGCAGUAGGGCUUGUUUGGGGGGCCACUAACGCCCUCAUGCGCAAAGGCGCAAUCUUAUGGGAC
rnacentral:lncRNA from 1 species